CUUCGGGUCGUAAAACUCUGUCCUCAAGGAAGAUAAUGACGGUACUUGAGGAGGAAGCCCCGGCUAACUACGUGCCAGCAGCCGCGGUAAUACGGAGGGGGCUAGCGUUAUCCGGAUUUACUGGGCGGAAAGGGUGCGUAGGCGGUCUUUCAAGUCAGGAGUGAAAGGCUACGGCUCAACCGUAGUAAGCUCUUGAAACUGGGAGACUUGAGUGCAGGAGAG
rnacentral:rRNA from 1 species